GGGGUUGUAGCUCAGUGGUUGAGCCCUUGCCUCGGGUGCAUGAAGCACUGGGUUCGAUCCUCAGCACCACA
rnacentral:tRNA from 1 species